AUGCGCGUCUAAUGCUUCUUCCGUCAAAGACAAGGAUUUUUUGUAUUUUCAGACAACCCUAAUAAUUUUGCAGCUAACUCUAAAUAUUCUAAUAUUUAUAUCCUUCCUUGUUCCUUCCUCUAUAUCGAGUUUGACCGGUCACUUCAUGUUGCUGCAAUUUUUGCUCUGCAUAUCUAUUAGUCUCUGUGACUAAAAGAUUUAUCACCGAACGAAUGUCACAUCAACGAAUAAUGAAAACACUUCACCUGCGCUAAUGUCAGACGGCAAAUCCAUCAGAAGUCCGCUUUUUCCGGUGAACGGAAAUGUCUGUUGCCUGUUAGCGAAUUCAUCCCAUUGAAUAUUGUUCAAUGAAUUAUCAAUAGUCGAAUUUCUCUUCUUCGUCUAUGGCAAGUUCUUCCAACGUAUCUUUGAGGUCUUCGCUUGCACAUGCUUCCUCAAUAUCCGAGUCCGAACUCGAUGACAUUCUAUUUAUAACUUCUUUUCUAAAAUUCACUACUUCGUCGUCACUACUCUCCUCACUUUCAAAUAUAUUUUCACGCUGAUUACUGAACAUUUUGAGGAUGAAAAAGUCACUGAUAUACAUCUCACAAGUAUACUUCUCGGCUAAAUGAGAAACCUGAGACAUCUGCCAUGAGAUCCCCCGGAACUCUAGCUGGAAAGCUUAUCGCUUUCUCCAUUUCAGAACUAAAUAAUCUUUUCUUUAGAAUGAAUCGAAGGCGAUAAACAAUGAAUUCCCACUUGUCGCUCUGUUUACGUCUGCGUACCGGCGGUCGGAUUUGGGCCCCGCAGGAAACAUCGCCUAAUCACGAACGUGUUAAUUGUACGUUAAUUCCCGUAGUUGGAACGAGGACUGUUUGCUUGUUCGAAGGACUUUAGUUAACUAAAUCCUAAAUUUUUAAAUUAUCUAUAAUUCUUAAAUUAUAGCGGGUCCUUAAGUUAGUUAAAAGUAUCCUAUGAAGAUGUUUUGAUAUCUGACAAUCAUAUUGCCCGAAGGAUAGGGUCUUUGCGUAGCAAACCACAGGAUAGAAACCAUUGGAAGGUUUGCUGUCGAGUGCCGCUACAAUGUCGGAGUUUGAUCUGGUUCUACCUGAUGGUUGGUGUUCUAGAAUGAUAAUGUAAUCUCGUCUAGGUGAAGCAGUUGACUCCAGGUAUGUUACUUCUGGGAUCUUUGUUGUGUGGUUCACUCGAGCUGAGACCCUUCCUUGGUGGGUGAAUGAAAAAUUUCGAAAGCAACAGUUCUCGCCUGUGUGUCAGAUUCAUGAACGCUUGGAAUAUUUUUCUUUCGCUCGUUCAUUCGGAAGCUGGUUAUUUACCUGUCCGAACCUUCUUUUGGCUUCGUUCGGUUUGCGUGAUGCCAGUGUUAUCGCUGGUCUCCGUGCUGCUUGUUUCUCUCUGAUAUAUAGCUCCAUUUCCGACGCGAGGUUCUGAGCUUUGGUCAGUGUACCUGGUUGACUUAGAUAACUUACUGUCCAAUCUCUUCUUUCAGGUUCAUGAUGUACGUUUUUAUUGUGUCGGUUUUUUCUUCUUCUAUAGCGAUUCUUCUUCUUACAGGUUUUAAAUGUUUGUGUCGAAUGGCAUAAAUUAGUUCGUUUAAUUGUUGUCGGAAGCGCAUAUUUUAUGAUUGUACGCUUUCCGUGUUUCCCUGUCUAGUCGUUCUAAGUUUGUCGCGGCAAGUGGUUACUGUAUUUGGGAUUGAAACGCUCCGCCUUAAUGCGGAGUACCAUUCUUCAUAAUUUUCGAUUUCAACGAAGCGAGUACUUCUUUUCUUAUCUUCAACUAUUUUCUCGACAAAAAUUCAUUUUAGAAGCAAUGGUUUUUAGUAGCAUUGGUUUCUCACGUACCUGAAAUUCUUUAUGGAAUCUUCUACGUCAACGUCGUCUCUUCCUUCCACGGUUUCUAUUUGUUCGUUGGCAGCUUUAGCUGGUAGAUUCCCUGGGUUUUCCGUAGAACUCCUUCGUGUUUGACAGGAUGGUCCAACUGUUGGUUGCGGUACCAGUACAAGUUUUGCUGAUAUAACUGACACAUCUUCCGAAUCGUCGGAUAAUGUGUCUGAUCCGGGGGUUCUAAACGAACGUCCACCAGAUUCGUCUACAGUGAGCAUGGUUAGGCGUAGAAUUUUACUGGGUUUUCCUAUUUCUUCUGUCCAUUUCCUAUUUUCUGUAGCUAACAUUUUCAAUUAAUAUUUCUUUUGCUUUUUUAAACUCUCGUAUGUUAUAUAGGUACAGUACGUGUUUAUCUGCUUGUAUUCGUUAUAAUGGAAUGAUUCCGUGUUUGGAGUCUCUUCAGUGAGUAGUUGUACAGUGUCCUUCGGGUCUUGAAGGGUGAUGUUUAUUGGGGUUUUUUGCCUCUUUUUGUUGAGGCUGUUGUUUUGUGGGUUGUUCCGUAGGGAGACUGGUGGCCUGUCUCGGAUAUGUCUGGUUUUUCGGUAUCGAGGCUCUUGGGGAAAAGCUCUCUGCGUGAUUUGUAAGCGCUGCAUCUUGGACGUUGAGGGUUUCGUUGUUGAUGAUGUACCUCUUGGUCUGUUUAUUAUUCUCUCUCGUACUUAUGAUUUCUUUACCUGACUUGCCGUAUGAUUACUUGCUUUAUUUCGUAAGGUUUCCUUCUUUUACUUUAUCAAUUCUAAAGUACAGUUUGGCCUUAUAGUUUCUUUUAUAUCUAUUGUUUCAGAAUGUCGCUGCAUCUGCGAGUGUGGAGUCUCUUGUGAUAGUAAUACGUCGAAUCUACUUCUUGUUGGCAUUUUUACUAUUGGCAAGCUUUCUGCUGAGUUCAUGAUUUCGUUUUUUCGUCUAUAUGCAUCUCCCAUUGUGCUCUCCUCUUUGCUUCUACAUUCUUUACUGCUUUCUGCCCUUUUGUUCCUGUUCACCAGGUUUCGCGGAGGGUUGAGUUUCCGCAUUUUUUAGGAGCCAAGGCUUGUAUCGCUAAGAAUUCUUGGUCGAUUUUUGCAUUUUUCUUUUAUUGGCUUCUUGCAUUCCGCUUAUGGAGGGUACCGAUUCAUUGUUUUGCUCACCAUAUCCGUUGUCUUCUAUCUUUUUUUCUUCUUUUAUUUAUCCGAUUGUUUUCAUAGUGAGGAUAACACUUGCUCUAUUUAUCAUAUUUAUUACCAAAUGGCAUUGAGUAAUUUGACUCACUCACUGGCAAGUCGUACGCGUGAUAUUUUUUUGGGUACUGCGGUCCGACUUGCUCGGCUUCCACAGCUAACUGACGACAACCAGUGCACUCAGAGCGGUAUGAACGUUUCUUAUUUGUUUUUGGUGCCGAAAAAAACAAAAUACUUAAAGAAAUAUGAAGUGGUGUAAAAAUCAGUUGUACAUUCAGAUAUAUAAAAGUAUGCGUGGCUUCAGUUUCAAAAAAGUAGCUAUUGCUUCAUGUACUUGUGGACUUGGAAGAUAGCGAGGACGAAGCGGACGGAACUUCGUAAAUUGAUUUUGUUGAACCUGAAGUUUUGUAUUUAAAAAUUAUGAUGCUGCAUUUAUGACAUGCUUUACGCAAGAAAUAAAUACGGUUUCUACCACCGAAUUGAGUUCUUAAGUUUACAGGAAGCUUCCCGUGUCUUCGACGUGAUAAAUUUGGCGAUCCCUCCCAGGAUACUCAUCAUUUUCAACAGGAAAACUUCCAACCAACUCUACGGACGUUUGGCAACCGAAGGACUACGAUCAUUCCAGUUGACACGAGUAUUCUACGAGCUCAGGCUUAUCUGGAGAGUUAGUUAGAAGUUAAACUAACUAGAGUUCGAGUCAUGAUUUUCCCCAGCAAGUGCGCAGAUCUGUUUAUACCGUGCUUGGAAGUGUUCAUCUGAUUUUCACCAAUUACUUUACAUAUUGCGAUCGUCAGCGCUAGACGCGUGCCGUCCGUACGGACGACAUAGGCCGCGAGUAGUCAGCACUGAAAGGACUGAAAGUUUUUAUUCGAGGAUCAACUACAACAGAAGACAGCUACUGAUCAACCAUCGAUAUCAAAUUUCCAGAGUUAAGGACAGAACGAUUUCUCUACCCGAGCUUGAAACAGACUAAUCGAAUAGCGAAGUAAAUUUAGAUUUGACACGUUGCCUUCUAAAGGAACUUGAAAAUAGCAUUUUCAUUGACAUACUAAUAUAAAUUAAAUAGGACAUAAAGGAUUAAGGAACGGACGAGGAGAACUGAUAAAUAUAAGAUGCCAAGACAAACUACAGCGCGUUGCAGAAGUUGUCGACAGACAGGGCACACCGCGAAAAAAUGUCACAUGCAUUUAUGCGUCUAUUGUGACAAAGCAGGACAUAUGGAAGAUGAGUGUAGAACCUUGAUGAAAGAUAGUGAAAAUGGACGAAGGACUGUAUCGCAGAUUAUCGAGUGUUUAAUGUCUCCUUCGAAUUCGAAAGAAGAUACAAGACGCAAACCACAAGUACAUCGCCGUGAGAACCAAACUGUAACCCGCAAACGAUGCAACGCGAAGUCUAAUAAGAAAAAGAUAGACGCAUCUACAAUAGGGCAUUACCGUUCAAAGUUAAUAACUUCUUAUAAAAACGUUGUCGAGAUUAAAGUUUUUUGGUUUAGGUCGUACUAGUUUUGACAACUGCGUAACGUUGAUGGAUACAUCAAUUUUACAUGGCUCAUUGCGCAUCGCCAUUUUGUUGAGAAUAAAUAAAAAAGGUUAUAUUUCUGUUCAUUAGUAGUCAUAUGAUAAAUGCCGUGAAACAAAUUUUCUAUCGAAUUCAUAGACUCGAUAGAAAUAAAAAAAUGGGAAAGAAAUAGUUAAAGAAGCGUAUGGCAUUUCAUGUGUCUGAUAGUAUUCGUCGCUUAAAGUAUGGUCCGCUGGUCUGCCAGGUGUUCGUGGCAAGCAGAGGUCAAGCAGAAUCUUUUGUUUUUAAAGUACGAACCAUAAAGUCAUAAGUAUUAAUUUAUUAACUUGUACUCAAUGUUAUAUGUAAUUCAUUGAAAGGUCUAAUUUGUGUAUUACAUGGCGACGGGUACAUGUGAUUUCGGAUAACACUAUUAGUUUAGAGGUUCGCUCAGCUUAAAACUCAAUGUACGUCAUUAUUUUAUUGUUAUAAUAAGUAUGGGUAUUGCUGCAUGCUACCUGUUACUUUUCGACGUUAUAUCGGGAUAAAAAUAAAGUUAAAUACGUCUACAAAU